CUCACCACAACCAGACUCUGAUGAAUGAUACUUUGAAAAGGCUUGAACAACAUCCAGCCUUCUGCAAAAGACCACUGAGGAUUUACUGUGACUUAGUCAUGAAGAAAAGGGUCACUAUCUUUCUCUCCAUGCUGGCUGCAGGGGCAUGUCACGUCAUGCUGUGUUGCGCUGGAGUUGUCUAGUCCUGAAAGGGGGGCGAGGAAGACAGGCGUGACGGAGUGUGACUGAGCUGAGAGUCGACCUGCGUGUUGAACGGGCCACCGGGAAUGGUGGGAGUCAGGACCUGAAGACCUCAUAGAAUUUUUUGACCAACCUACUCUAGCUGGUUCCCAGGCUGCCCACUUACCCUGUUCUGCAAACAAACAGAUGGAGACAUUAAAACCAGCACCUGCCAACACUGCUCAGAAAAAAGAGGUCAGCCAGUGCCGGUUGUCGGCUUCUCGCCUCCCGUUCAGAGCCAUGAAGGAGCCGAAGAAGGUGAUCGUGUAGAAGUAGCAGAACACGAUGGAGACGCUGGUGUACACGCAGAACGACUGCACCGCCGGGAAGUCGGACGUGACGCCAAUGGAGAACUUGACCAGGUCAGUCAAGGCGGUGAUGGUGAUGGACAUGACGGCUUCUUUGUAAGAGUGAGCCAUCCGAUGAGGCACUGAGUCUUUCACUUUGGUGUGCUGCCAGUCAGACACCAGUAUGAACAUGUUGUUGAGUCCAAUUCCUGAAAAUGAACGCAGGCUAUGUCAAAUCAUCCACUGCAGUUAAAACACACACUUUUUUAUAUCAAUGCAGUUUAUUACUUCAACAUUUUAAAAUCUUCAGCACAGGAACAAAAGGUUCUUUUUCUCACCAAGGAUCAGGAAAGGAGAAUUUGCAACUGUAAUAACAAACGGCACUCCAAUGUAAAGCAGCAAGCCAAAAGAGGACAUAAUCGCCAGACCAGAGGAGAAGACGCCAAAGACAGCCACCCACACCUUGUUCCUCACAUUGUCCAAUCUGUAAAGGAGAUAAAAACAAGAGUCGUUAUUCAAAUUAUGUAACUAAUAAGUUAAAAGAUAUACUGUGAGCAAAGAGGAUUAUCUCUGAUUUAAUCUUGAAUAGUUUUACUUUUGGAUUCACACAUCAUUUAUGGCAACAUUUUAGAGGUGUUUUCCAAAUUUUUAGAAGUACAAAAUAUAUGUUUUGUCCAUAUUCUGUAUAGAAAGAUGGAUGGCACAACCACUCCUCUAUUAGCAGGUACAAGGUGGGACAGGGGAGAGGAGAUGUAAUAAACACUAACACAAGAGUCAUUUAACUUUCCAUAAAUGUAAGUGUCUGCUUCAAACCAAAACAAAGAAUCUGUUCUCAGUA